UCAACGAUGGUGCAGUGGUUAGCACUGUUGCCUCACAGCAAGAAGAGCGUGGGUUCGAACCCCGCCUGGGGCC